CCUUAUGGCUGAUACAGAUCUUAUCUAGUGUCCCGGAACUAACAAGCAUCUUUAUCUAUUUACUCACAUUCACAGUUGGGGCUAGGGGAGUUUUAUGGUUACGGAGUUAUGCAGUCCCACACUGGGGCUGAAGCGCCCGCCUCAGAACCGGCGGACUGGAUGGCAAUGGCUCAGGCUUACAGGCAGAGUCUGACCAAAGAUUCAAUAGGCAGCUGCCGUUUGCUGAGAGGAAAAACAUGGCCAUGGACGGACCCCUUACCCCAGUUAUUUAUUUGCCGUUGAAAGCCUGGAGAAUCGGCCUGUUCCGAAGAGCACUGAGACCUGUCUGAAGUCAGAAAGCAAGCCAGUGGCAGGGCUGACUCGGCCUAGGACCAGCUCAGGAAAAGGGCAGCUGGGAGCGGGAGAGGAGUUCACCCCGCCGCGGCAGAGGCCCCGAAGGUCACCACACCACGUGCAGAUUCAGACUCCCAAGAGACCUAGAUUUUGUCAGAGAAUUCUGCCGUGGCAUCCUGAGACAAGGAUGAAGACCCAGGGUGGGGGCACUGGAGCCCCAAACUCUCCUUCAGAACAGCUUUGCUUUUCAUGUUUUAUACAUUGGAAUUCACCCAAAGAUACUAUUUGCACAAAGAGAUAUCCUACUAAAAAUGUUUGAAAACCCACUGGACUGCUGUGUCUUAAUUUAAUUUCCUUCUCACUCUAAAAUUUGGAUCUUAGAGUGUCAGGGCAUUUGCAACUCCCUGUCUUUGCUUGGCGCUGGCAGAGGUGUGUCAUAGAGAUGAGGCUGUGGAUCUGUCUCACCUGUCUUCCUGAAGACCAUUUCUACAACUGCGGAGCUGCCGCAUGUGUACAAGGUCUGAAUCCACGGAAUCAGAGCUGAGAAGCUGACAGCUCUUGGGGCAAGUUCCGCAUGCUCUGAUUGCCUCCUCGAAGCACAG
rnacentral:lncRNA from 1 species